UACGUAGGGUGCGAGCGUUGUCCGGAAUUAUUGGGCGUAAAGCGCUCGCAGGUGGUUCGUCGCGUCGUGCGUGAAAGACCCCGGCUCAACUGGGGAGGGUCGUGCGAUACGGGCGGACUGGAGGCCAGUAGGGGGAUGCGGAAUUCCGGGUGUAGUGGUGGAAUGCGUAGAGAUCCGGAGGAACACCAGCGGCGAAGGCGGCAUCCUGGACUGGUCCUGACACUCAUGAGCGAAAGCGUGGGGAGCGAUCCGG
rnacentral:rRNA from 1 species